GAAUCAACGCUGGCGGCGUGCCUAACACAUGCAAGUCGCACGAGAAAGGGGAGCAAUCCCUGAGUACAGUGGCGCACGGGUGAGUAACACGUGAAUUAUCUACCUCCGAGUGGGGAAUAACUGAGAGAAAUCUUAGCUAAUACCGCAUAACACUUACGAGUCAAAGCAGCAAUGCGCUUGGAGAGGAGUUCGCGGCAGAUUAGUUAGUUGGCGGGGUAANGCCCACCAAGACGAUGAUCUGUAUCCGGCCUGAGAGGGCGGCACGGACACACU
rnacentral:rRNA from 1 species